UACAGGAAGCAGCUUGCUGCUUCGCUGACGAGUGGCGGACGGGUGAGUAAUGUCUGGGAAACUGCCUGAUGGAGGGGGAUAACUACUGGAAACGGUAGCUAAUACCGCAUAACGUCGCAAGACCAAAGAGGGGGACCUUCGGGCCUCUUGCCAUCGGAUGUGCCCAGAUGGGAUUAGCUAGUAGGUGGGGUAACGGCUCACCUAGGCGACGAUCCCUAGCUGGUCUGAGAGGAUGACCAGCCACACUGGAACUGAGACACGGUCCAGACUCCUACGGGAGGCAGCAGUGGGGAAUAUUGCACAAUGGGCGCAAGCCUGAUGCAGCCAUGCCGCGUGUAUGAAGAAGGCCUUCGGGUUGUAAAGUACUUUCAGCGGGGAGGAAGGGAGUAAAGUUAAUACCUUUGCUCAUUGACGUUACCCGCAGAAGAAGCACCGGCUAACUCCGUGCCAGCAGCCGCGGUAAUACGGAGGGUGCAAGCGUUAAUCGGAAUUACUGGGCGUAAAGCGCACGCAGGCGGUUUGUUAAGUCAGAUGUGAAAUCCCCGGGCUCAACCUGGGAACUGCAUCUGAUACUGGCAAGCUUGAGUCUCGUAGAGGGGGGUAGAACUCCAUG
rnacentral:rRNA from 1 species